CGCGGCUCCCCCGGCGGCUCCGGGCGGCCUGCGGUCCGGGCCAGCCCUGCCCUGCCAGCGCGGCCCUGCCAGCGCGGCCCGGGAAGGGCGCAGAGUGCACGGGGCAGUCGGCGCGAGAGGGCGGGGAAGGGGGCCCGAGCCUUUCUCGGGUGUGUGUGAAGUGAGAGACCCCCCCCUUGCUGAGGGGGCCCUGUGCUGGGGUGGGUUGCAGGUCUUGACGUGGGUGUGCCUGCCAUGUCAGUGCCGGGGCUACCGCCCUACGGGAAACCAGCGCAUCGGGCAGGAAGGAGAUCAGGGAAGGUAGAGGGGAGGUGAUUCUCCCCCUUUUUUUCCGCUCUUCUGAGGCCCCACCCGCAGUACUGUGAGCAGGUCUGCAGUCCCCGACACAAGAGGGACGGGGAGAGACGUCCAGAGACCGGCUGUGAAGAUUUUCAGAGGGCUGGAGCACUUCUUUUGUGAAGACAGGAAUAAGAGCUGGACACAGCACACCAAUGUGGCCUGAAAAGCACUGGGCAGCACCCCCAGAACCCUUCCAGAGUGGCUGCUCCCACGCUACACAAAGCUGAGCCUGACCUGGGCUUUUUGGUUAUGUCCUCUCAGGUGCAUGAUCUUAAACUUGUCUUUAUGAUGGAUUUUGCUUUAUUUAUAUGUUUUACUUUCCAUCACUGGUGUCUUUGUUGUUAUCCAAUAAAACAGGAAGUGUAUUACA